ACGCUCGACACCUAUGGAAGGCAGCAGUGGGGAAUAUUGCACAAUGGGGGAAACCCUGAUGCAGCGACGCCGCGUGAAGGAAGAAGUAUCUCGGUAUGUAAACUUCUAUCAGCAGGGAAGAAAAUGACGGUACCUGACUAAGAAGCCCCGGCUAACUACGUACCAGCAGCCGCGGUAAUCUGAGCGGGCUGGCAAGGC
rnacentral:rRNA from 1 species